CUACAAUGGCCGGUACAAAGGGCAGCGACACAGCGAUGUGAAGCCAAUCCCGAAAAGCCGGUCUCAGUCCGGAUUGGAGUCUGCAACUCGACUCCAUGAAGUUGGAAUCGCUAGUAAUCGCGGAUCAGCACGCCGCGGUGAAUACGUUCCCGGGCCUU
rnacentral:rRNA from 1 species